rnacentral:sRNA from 1 species
GUACAACAGCAUGAGCUCCAAGCUUCAAACGCAUUCUCACGCUCAGAUGAGCACUUUAUUUUUCAUCAAGUUAUUUUUUGCAUUGUUUUGGAGCAGCUUUGAAUAAUAAACACAUAUUUCUGCUUUAAAUUUUUAAUGGUUACUAUAUUCAUGGGACAACCAAAGCAAGAAAGCCUCAUGUUUUGGGGGAAAGUUUGAUAUCAGCAAUGUCCAGACAAGCAAGUGCAUAAUGGAACGCAACUUCAUGGAACCCAACUCAGACAGGAUUGACAGUUGAAGAACCAACUCUUUAAUUGUGAGAAAUUAAAACAAAUCUACUGAAUG